rnacentral:rRNA from 1 species
CUGGCCUUGACAUGUACCGAAUUUAGCAGAGAUGCUUUAGUGCUCGAAAGAGAACGGUAACACAGGUGCUGCAUGGCUGUCGUCAGCUCGUGUCGUGAGAUGUUGGGUUAAGUCCCGCAACGAGCGCAACCCUUGCCAUUAAUUGCCAUCAUUUAGUUGGGCACUUUAAUGGGACUGCCGGUGACAAACCGGAGGAAGGUGGGGAUGACGUCAAGUCCUCAUGGCCCUUAUGGCCAGGGCUUCACACGUAAUACAAUGGUCGGUACAGAGGGUUGCCAACCCGCGAGGGGGAGCCAAUCCCAGAAAGCCGAUCGUAGUCCGGAUUGUAGUCUGCAACUCGACUGCAUGAAGUCGGAAUCGCUAGUAAUCGCGGAUCAGCAUGUCGCGGUGAAUACGUUCCC